GAGAGUGUGGUGUAGUGGUUUGAAUGUUGGACUACAACUCUUCACACCAGGGUUCAAAUCCCUACUCAGCCA